rnacentral:rRNA from 1 species
UACGUAGGGUGCGAGCGUUGUCCGGAAUUACUGGGCGUAAAGAGCUCGUAGGUGGUUUGUCGCGUUGUCCGUGAAAACUCACAGCUCAACUGUGGGCGUGCGGGCGAUACGGGCAGACUGGAGUACUGCAGGGGAGACUGGAAUUCCUGGUGUAGCGGUGGAAUGCGCAGAUAUCAGGAGGAACACCGGUGGCGAAGGCGGGUUGCUGGGCUGAUACUGACGCUGAGGCGCGAAAGCCAGGGGAGCGAACGGG